rnacentral:rRNA from 1 species
AACGCGAAGAACCUUACCUGGGUUUGACAUCCUUUGAAUACAGUAGAGAUAUUGUAGGCUCGCAAGAGACAAAGAGACAGGUGCUGCAUGGCUGUCGUCAGCUCGUGUUGUGAAAUGUUGGGUUAAGUCCCGCAACGAGCGCAACCCCUGCCUUUGGUUGCCAUCAUUUAAGGUGGGCACUCCAGAGGGACUGCCGUCGUCAAGACGGAGGAAGGUGGGGAUGACGUCAAGUCCUCAUGGCCUUUAUAUCCAGGGCGACACACGUGAUACAAUGGUAGGUACAAAGGGCAGCGAAGUGGUGACACGAAGCCAAUCCCAAAAAGCCUAUCUCAGUUCGGAUUGGAGUCUGCAACUCGACUCCAUGAAGUUGGAAUUGCUAGUAAUCGCGGAUCAGCACGCCGCGGUGAAUACGUUCCCGGGCCUUGUACACACCGUAGAGAC